UACAGAGGUCCCAAGCGUUGUUCGGAUUCAUUGGGCGUAAAGGGUGCGUAGGCGGCGCGGUAAGUCGGGUGUGAAAUCUUGGAGCUUAACUCCGAAACUGCAUUCGAUACUGCCGUGCUUGAGGACUGGAGAGGAGACUGGAAUUUAUGGUGUAGCGGUGAAAUGCGUAGAUAUCGUAAGGAAGACCAGUGGCGAAGGCGGGUCG
rnacentral:rRNA from 1 species